UAUUGGACAAUGGGGGGAACCCUGAUCCAGCGACGCCGCGUGAGUGAAGAAGUAUCUCGGUANGUAAAGCUCUAUCAGCAGGGAANNAANNNUNACGGUAACUGAGUAAGAAGCUCCGGCUAACUACUUGNNNGCAGCCGCGGUAAUACGUAGGGGGCAAGCGUUAUCCGGAAUUACUGGGUGUAAAGGGAGCGUAGACGGUGAUGUAAGCCUGGAGUGAAAGGCGGGGGCCCAACCCCCGGACUGCUCUGGAAACUAUGUGACUGGAGUGCAGGAGAGGUGAGCGGAAUUCCUAGUGUAGCGGUGAAAUGCGUAGAUAUUAGGAGGAACACCAGUGGCGAAGGCGGCUCACUGGACUGUAACUGACGUUGAGGCUCGAAAGCGUGGGGAGCAAA
rnacentral:rRNA from 1 species